rnacentral:rRNA from 1 species
UCCGUAGGUGAACCUGCGGAAGGAUCAUUACCGAGUGAGGGCCCUCUGGGUCCAACCUCCCACCCGUGUCUAUCGUACCUUGUUGCUUCGGCGGGCCCGCCGUUUCGACGGCCGCCGGGGAGGCCUCGCGCCCCCGGGCCCGCGCCCGCCGAAGACCCCAACAUGAACGCUGUUCUGAAAGUAUGCAGUCUGAGUUGAUUAUCAUAAUCAGUUAAAACUUUCAACAACGGAUCUCUUGGUUCCGGCAUCGAUGAAGAACGCAGCGAAAUGCGAUAAGUAAUGUGAAUUGCAGAAUUCAGUGAAUCAUCGAGUCUUUGAACGCACAUUGCGCCCCCUGGUAUUCCGGGGGGCAUGCCUGUCCGAGCGUCAUUGCUGCCCUCAAGCACGGCUUGUGUGUUGGGCCGCCGUCCCCGGUUUCCCCCGGGGACGGGCCCGAAAGGCAGCGGCGGCACCGCGUCCGAUCCUCGAGCGUAUGGGGCUUUGUCACCCGCUCUGUAGGCCCGGCCGGCGCCAGCCGACACCCAACUUUAUUUCUAAGGUUGACCUCGGAUCAGGUAGGGAUACCCGCUGAACUUAAGCAUAUCAAUAAGCGGAGGA